rnacentral:lncRNA from 1 species
AUCUUCUCCACCCACUAUCGUACAUCAAAUAGGAUUUCCUUCAUUGUUCCUUCGUCGCCACCCCUAUAUCUUCAAUUCCACCGAAUUUUCUUUGCAUAGGUGAUAGGACAAAUUGUUUGUCGGAGGUGUAUAUGGAGGUGAAUCUUAUUUAUACACCUUAAGACUCCGAGGAAGAUUUUCAAUCCAUGAGAAAAUAGAAAUUCAAUUCAUAAAGAAAUUAAAAUUCAAUUCACGAAGAAAUUGAAAUUUAAUUCAUGAGAAAAUUGAAUGAUUUACAGCGGAUUUAAUGGAAUCGGUGGUUGCACUGUUA